rnacentral:rRNA from 1 species
GACAGAGGAGCCAAGCGUUAUCCGGAAUUAUUGGGCGUAAAGCGCGCGCAGGCGGCCUUUUAAGUCUGAUGUGAAAGCCCACGGCUCAACCGUGGAAGGUCAUUGGAAACUGAGAGGCUUGAGUACAGAAGAGGAAAGCGGAAUUCCACGUGUAGCGGUGAAAUGCGUAGAGAUGUGGAGGAACACCAGUGGCGAAGGCGGCUUUCUGGUCUGUAACUGACGCUGAGGCGCGAAAGCGUGGGGAGCAAACAGG